UAGGGAAUCUUCGGCAAUGGGGGGAACCCUGACCGAGCAACGCCGCGUGAGUGAAGAAGGUUUUCGGAUCGUAAAGCUCUGUUGUUAAGGAAGAACGAGUGUGAGAAUGGAAAGUUCAUACUGUGACGGUACUUAACCAGAAAGGGACGGCUAACUGCGUGCCAGCAGCCGCGGUAAUACGUAGGUCCCGAGCGUUGUCCGGAUUUAUUGGGCGUAAAGCGAGCGCAGGCGGUUAGAUAAGUCUGAAGUUAAAGGCAGUGGCUCAACCAUUGUAGGCUUUGGAAACUGUUUAACUUGAGUGCAGAAGGGGAGAGUGGAAUUCCAUGUGUAGCGGUGAAAUGCGUAGAUAUAUGGAGGAACACCGGUGGCGAAAGCGGCUCUCUGGUCUGUAACUGACGCUGAGGCUCGAAAGCGUGGGGAGCGAACAGG
rnacentral:rRNA from 1 species